rnacentral:lncRNA from 1 species
GUAGCAAUUUUUAUUUUAUCUUCCACAAUCAAGUACCUAGUACAUUUUCAAGCAAAUUUCCUAGAAUACAGCAAAGUAGGUGUUAGUUUUUGGUGAAAAAUCUUCUACAUAUAUUUCUUCUUAAACCAUGCAAUUAUUUUAAAACACCAUAUAUUAUAAUUGCUAUUUUUUUCUAGUUUGUUGGUUUUAGACAUCAAGACACUUAUUUAACCUUCUCUUGCCAUUAAUCUAAUUCAAUGGUCUUUGCUUAUCUGUAGCUCAUAUAUAAAAAAUUAUGCUUUUGUAAACAAGAAAAAACAAUGUAAUUUACCUUUGAUC